AUUGAACGCUGGCGGCAGGCCUAACACAUGCAAGUCGAACGAGUGGCGGACGGGUGAGUAAUGUCUGGGAAACUGCCCGACGGAGGGGGAUAACUACUGGAAACGGUAGCUAAUACCGCAUACCAUCGGAUGUGCCCUGAGGGGAUUAGCUAGUAGGUGGGGUAACGGCUCACCUAGGCGACGAUCCCUAGCUGGUCUGAGAGGAAGCCCGGCCCGAGUGGAACUGAGACGCGGUCCAGACUCCUACGGGAGGCAGCAGGGGGGAAUAGUGCACAAUGGGCGCAAGCCUGAUGCAGCCAUGCCGCGUGUAUGAAGAAGGCCUUCGGGUUGUAAAGUACUUUCAGCGAGGAGGCGUUACUCGCAGAAGAAGCACCGGCUAACUCCGUGCCAGCAGCCGCGGUAAUAC
rnacentral:rRNA from 1 species